UAGGGAAUCUUCGGCAAUGGACGAAAGUCUGACCGAGCAACGCCGCGUGAGUGAAGAAGGUUUUCGGAUCGUAAAACUCUGUUGUUAGAGAAGAACAAGGACGUUAGUAACUGAAUGUCCCCUGACGGUAUCUAACCAGAAAGCCACGGCUAACUACGUGCCAGCAGCCGCGGUAAUACGUAGGUGGCAAGCGUUGUCCGGAUUUAUUGGGCGUAAAGCGAGCGCAGGCGGUUUCUUAAGUCUGAUGUGAAAGCCCCCGGCUCAACCGGGGAGGGUCAUUGGAAACUGGGAGACUUGAGUGCAGAAGAGGAGAGUGGAAUUCCAUGUGUAGCGGUGAAAUGCGUAGAUAUAUGGAGGAACACCAGUGGCGAAGGCGGCUCUCUGGUCUGUAACUGACGCUGAGGCUCGAAAGCGUGGGGAGCAAACAGG
rnacentral:rRNA from 2 species